UAUACGAGGUUUGAACUUAAGUUCCAUUGUUUGUCUAUGAAUACUACCAAACGCGAGUUUUCUUUUCAGGUACAUGACGCUAUUAGGACCAAUACCACUUCCACCCCCCCCCACAGCCUCAGGGUUGGCACCCUCAACGUCGGCACACUGAAAGGCAGAUCUGGCGAGAUAGUUGAAUUGCUUGAACGGAGCCAUGUAGUGUACUGGGU